rnacentral:sRNA from 1 species
GCCGGGUGAGAUGGCCGCACCUGUAAUCCCAGAGGCUGGGAGGCCGAGGCAGGAGGAUCACAAGCUCAAAGCCAGCCUCAGCAACUCAGCAAGACCCUCAGCAACUUAGUGAGGCCCUGUCUCAA